CUCCUACGGGAGGCAGCAGUAGGGAAUCUUGGACAAUGGGGGAAACCUUGAUCCAGCAAUGCCGCGUGAGUGAUGAAGGCCUUAGGGUUGUAAAGCUCUUUCAGAAGUGAAGAUGAUGACGGUAACUUCAGAAGAAGCUCCGGCUAACUCCGUGCCAGCAGCCGCGGUAAU
rnacentral:rRNA from 1 species